rnacentral:rRNA from 1 species
GCAAGUCGAACGGUAACAGGAAUCUUCGGAUUUGAUGACGAGUGGCGCACGGGUGCGUAACGCGUAUGCAACCUACCUACAACAGGAGAAUAGCCCGUGGAAACGCGGAUUAAUACUCAAUAACACUAUAAGGCUACCUAGUUUAAUAGGUAAAGAUUUAUCGGUUGUAGAUGGGCAUGCGUCCCAUUAGCUAGAUGGUGAGGUAACGGCUCACCAUGGUAACGAUGGGUAGGGGUUCUGAGAGGAAGAUC